CCUACGGGCGGCUGCAGUGAGGAAUUUUGCGCAAUGGCCGCAAGGCUGACGCAGCAACGCCGCGUGGGUGAAGAAGGCCUUCGGGUCGUAAAGCCCUGUCAGGUGGGAAGAAAGGUUUCGUCAAGAAACGGAUGGAAUUUGACGGUACCACCAGAGGAAGCACCGGCUAACUCCGUGCCAGCAGCCGCGGUAAUACGGAGGGUGCGAGCGUUAUUCGGAAUUAUUGGGCGUAAAGCGCGAGUAGGCGGGGAUGCAAGUCUGAUGUGAAAGCCCUGGGCUUAACCUGGGAAGUGCAUUGGAAACUGCAUUUCUUGAGUACUGGAGAGGAAGGGGGAAUUCCCGGUGUAGAGGUGAAAUUCGUAGAGAUCGGGAGGAAUACCAGUGGCGUAGGCGCCUUUCUGGACGGUUACUGACGCUGAGACGCGAAAGCGUGGGGAGCAAACAGGCUUAGAUACCCCGGUAGUC
rnacentral:rRNA from 1 species